rnacentral:rRNA from 1 species
GGAGGAUGCAAGCGUUAUCCGGAUUCAUUGGGGUUUAAAGGGUGCGCAGGCGGGGGGCAAUAAGUCAGUGGUGAAAUCCUGCGGCUUAACCGUAGAACUGCCAUUGAUACUGUUGCCCUUGAGUAUAGUUGAGGUGGGCGGAAUAUGUAAUGUAGCGGUGAAAUGCAUAGAUAUUACAUAGAACACCAAUUGCGAAGGCAGCUCACUAAGCUAUCACUGACGCUGAGGCACGAAAGCGUGGGGAGCGAACAGGAUUAGAUACCCUGGUAGUCCACGCCGUAAACGAUGAUCACUCGUUGUUGGCAAUACAUCGUCAGCGACUGAGCGAAAGCAUUAAGUGAUCCACCUGGGGAGUACGAUCGCAAAGAUUG